rnacentral:rRNA from 1 species
GAUGAACGCUGGCGGCGUGCCUAAUACAUGCAAGUCGAGCGAACAGACGAGGAGCUUGCUCCUCUGACGUUAGCGGCGGACGGGUGAGUAACACGUGGAUAACCUACCUAUAAGACUGGGAUAACUUCGGGAAACCGGAGCUAAUACCGGAUAAUAUAUUGAACCGCAUGGUUCAAUAGUGAAAGACGGUUUUGCUGUCACUUAUAGCUGGAUCCGCGCCGCAUUAGCUAGUUGGUAAGGUAACGGCUUACCAAGGCAACGAUGCGUAGCCGACCUGAGAGGGUGGACCACCCCAACGGGAACGAAGACACGGUCAAGACUCCUGGGGGGGGAAGAAGUGGGAAAUUUCGGAAAAGGGGGGAAAGCCUGAGGAAGCCAUCCCGGGUGGGUGAAGAGGGCCUUGGGGUUGUAAAGCCUUUUUGUAGGGAAAGAAAAGCAGCAGGUUAAUACCCCGCUGUUCUGACGGUACCAAAAGAAUAAGCACGGGCUAACUUCGG